rnacentral:lncRNA from 1 species
AUACCCCGUCCGGUAUGAGGGUGAAACGGGCCGUCCCCAUACCCCGUCCGGUAUGGGCGCCAAAACCAUAAACCUCAAUACCCCGUCCGGUAUGAGGGUGAAACGGGCCGUCUCCAUACCCCGUCCGGUAUGGGCGCCAAAACCAUAAGAUCUCCAUACCCCGUCCGGCAUGUGAGACCACAAUCCCGGUAGGGUUCCCUACGGACCCGGUCCGUCCACCAUCUCCCAGGAUAUCUAGAAAGGCUGACCCCAUCAUACAAUUAUCAGUCUAUACAAUGUUUCAUUUCCCUUUUUCCUCAAUAAGCAUCAUCAAUUCACUUUUAAACAAGCAAAUCGUAAUUCAUGCCGAACAGACAACAUACAGUAUCAGUUCUUCAGUCAUUCAACCCAUAAUUAAUAAAACAGUAAUAUAUGCAUUCGAAACUAUAAAAUGAACACAUCAAACCCCAUAAUGCAUUUAAAGCUGUAAAACAGGCCAAAUAACAGUAAAUCAUCAAUCACACUAGACUCGGGCUCCAUUAGCAACCUUAAGCAAUUUCACACAUGCGUUAAUUCAAGAAAUACCGUUUUAUCAUUUUGAACUUUAAUACCGUGAUAGGAGAUAGGGUGAGGGGUCCUUACUUGUUUUCGAGAUCCGAAUACGAUUCACAGUGCGCCUGCAGGCCGUCCCUAAUUUUCCCUGAAUUUUUUCCGGGAAACUGAAACACACUAACAGUACCUGCACGUGUUCCAAAAAAAAUCCAAAUUAGGCCCAGGGCCCCUUUCGGACCAAAUCGCAACUCCGGCACGGCGGCGAGUCGCCUCG